GACAGAGGGGGCAAGCGUUGCUCGGAAUUACUGGGCGUAAAGGGCGCGUAGGCGGUCUGUUAAGUUCGGUGUGAAAGCCCCCGGCUCACCUGGGGAACUGCGCCGGAAACCGACAGACUCGAGUACCGGAGAGGAGGGUGGAAUUCCUGGUGUAGCGGUGAAAUGCGUAGAUAUCAGGAGGAACACCGGUGGCGAAGGCGGCCCUCUGGACGGAUACUGACGCUGAGGCGCGAAAGCGUGGGGAUCAAACAGG
rnacentral:rRNA from 1 species